GUGUCGUCGUGAUAACCUGUCGUUUCUUUUUCAAAAAGUUACGAGGUACGUCGAACGAAGUUGUUGGCACCUGUGUUCAGUAAGGUAUCUAUGUAAACCUUCAACGGAUAAAUACUCCCCAGUUUUCCGAAGGAAGUUUAAAUUUGUUAAAGAUAACAGUCUACCUGCAAAAUGAUGGUAUGCAAACAUAGAUCAACAAAAGCAACG
rnacentral:lncRNA from 1 species